rnacentral:rRNA from 1 species
UGGGGAAUCUUGCGCAAUGGACGAAAGUCUGACGCAGCCACGCCGCGUGAGUGAAGAAGGCCUUCGGGUUGUAAAGCUCUGUCGGAGGGGACGAAAAGCGUUGGUGUUAACAGCAUCAACGCCUGACGGUACCCUUAAAGGAAGCACCGGCUAACUCUGUGCCAGCAGCCGCGGUAAUACAGAGGGUGCAAGCGUUGCUCGGAAUUAUUGGGCGUAAAGGGUAGGUAGGUGGUCUCAUUUGUGUGGGGUGAAAGCCUUGAGCUUAACUCAAGAAGUGCCCCGCAAACGGUGAGACUGGAGUACUGGAGAGGCUAGCGGAAUUCCCGGUGUAGCGGUGAAAUGCGUAGAGAUCGGGAGGAACACCAGAGGCGAAGGCGGCUAGCUGGACAGUUACUGACACUCAACUACGAAAGCGUGGGGAGCAAACAGGAUUAGAUACCCCUGUAGUCC